rnacentral:lncRNA from 1 species
UUGUUAUUUCUUCAAGGUUUGUCUUUAUAGGUGUUUAUUUAUUAAUGAACAUUUUAAAUAAAAAGAUGAAAUGACCAGAAUACCCUUAAAUAGAUAGACAUAACUGAAAAUUUUAACUUGGUUAGUGCUAAAGGACGAAAGGUGUAAUGCGUUUUCUAAAAAAGGACGGUGACUGUAAUUAUUGAAGUUAAAGGUUAUCCAUUGCAACUCGCUACAAACAUAAAGGACGAAAAGUGUAAUUUACCCUUUGUUUAAUCAAGCUAAUAUUGGUUGUUAAUUAUGAAUCAAGGUUCUGUGUUAAUGAUUCUCGUUGUUCGUUCGGUCAUCAAUGCUGGAGUUGUGAUGGACAUUUGAACAUAGUUCAGGAUUGAGAUUGAACUUAGUUUUGAUCGCGAAUUCUGAAACUAAACAUGGUGCAUAGUAGUUGGGAAGCUGAUACGAUGUUUGUUAAAUGCUGGAGCCACUGUUGCUGUUCUAUCAACAAACUCAGUUCCAUUUUAACCUUUAUUGUUGGAGAACUAACAAUCUAAGUUCAAUUGCCUAAAAGGAGACUGAACCAUAGUCACAUAAUUCGCUAGUUGAGCCAUGAUCUCCGAUCCAGUUUGAACGAUCCCAAUCGCGGUACGUUCGCCAUCGACCCGGAUCGCGAUUUCGAAGUUAAAAUUGGCAUUCCCAACUCGUCAAUUCAAUCGUAUUACGUGCUAUCGGGAUCGCGAUUUGCUGGAAUUCGGAACGUGUAAUCGUGUAUGCAGUUCAAGAGUUAACUCUAGCAAGCUGUCAACUGGCUGGUUAAUCUCACAGAAACAACAAUUGCUUAUGGGAAGACGAAGGGUGCAUAAAGUUUAUUGUAUUGAACGUUAGAUUGUUAGAAAACAUAUUGUUAUGUAUGAUUUUUGAAGUAUGGCGACUUCAAACAGGAUUUGGAAACUUUUUGGUCAAAUUUUCUGCAAUUUU